rnacentral:rRNA from 1 species
UCUGGUGGCGAUGCGCUUGGGGGAAACACCCGUUCUCAUCCCGAACACGUUGGUUAAGACCCUUGCGGCCGAUGGUACUAUGCUGGUAACGGCAUGGGAGAGUAGGUGGCUGCCAGAU